rnacentral:tRNA from 1 species
UAUUUAUAUAAUAUAUUUAGUAUAUUUG